rnacentral:tRNA from 1 species
GGGCCCGUAGCUCAAUGGAUAGAGCGAUGGUCUUCUAAGCCAUAGGUUGGGGGUUCGAGUCCCCUCGGGCCCG